AUUGAACGCUGGCGGUAGGCCUAACACAUGCAAGUCGAACGGCAGCACAGUAAUAGCUUGCUCUUACGGGUGGCGAGUGGCGGACGGGUGAGGAAUACAUCGGAAUCUACUUUUUCGUGGGUGAUAACGUAGGGAAACUUACGCUAAUACCGCAUACGACCUACGGGUGAAAUCAUGGGAUCUUCGGACCUUGCGCGAUUGAAUGAGCCGAUGUCGGAUUAGCUAGUUGGCGGGGUAAAGGCCCACCAAGGCGACGAUCCGUAGCUGGUCUGAGAGGAUGAUCAGCCACACUGGAACUGAGACACGGUCCAGACUCCUACGGGAGGCAGCAGUGGGGAAUAUUGGACAAUGGGCGAAAGCCUGAUCCAGCCAUACCGCGUGGGUGAAGAAGGCCUUCGGGUUGUAAAGCCCUUUUGUUGGGAAAGAAAAGCAGCAAGUUAAUACCCCGCUGUUCUGACGGUACCAACAGAAUAAGCACCGGCUAACUUCGUG
rnacentral:rRNA from 1 species